rnacentral:rRNA from 1 species
ACUCAAAGGAAUAGACGGGGGCCCGCACAAGCAGUGGAGUAUGUGGUUUAAUUCGAAGCAACGCGAAGAACCUUACCAGGGCUUGACAUCCUACUAACGAGGUAGAGAUACGUUAGGUGCCCUUCGGGGAAAGUAGAGACAGGUGGUGCAUGGUUGUCGUCAGCUCGUGUCGUGAGAUGUUGGGUUAAGUCCCGCAACGAGCGCAACCCUUACGGUUAGUUGCUACGCAAGAGCACUCUAGCCGGACUGCCGUUGACAAAACGGAGGAAGGUGGGGACGACGUCAAAUCAUCAUGCCCCUUACGUCCUGGGCUACACACGUACUACAAUGGCGGACAUACAACGGGCAGCGACACAGCGAUGUGAAGCCAAUCCCUAAAAAGCCGUCUCAGUUCGGAUCGCAGGCUGCAACCCGCCUGCGUGAAGUCGGAAUUGCUAGUAAUCGCGGAUCAUCAUGCCGCGGUGAAUACGUUCCCGGGCCUUGCACACACCGCCCGU